rnacentral:rRNA from 1 species
UAAAAGCCUACCAAGCCUAAGAUCCUUAGCUGUUCUGAGAGGUUGAACAGCCACACUGGGACUGAGACAAGGCCCAGGCUCCAUUUGGAGCCAGCAGUGAGGAAUUUUGGACAAUGAGCGAAAGCCUGAUCCAGCAAUACUACAUGAGUGAAGAAGGCUUUCAAGUUGUAACACUCUUUGGUUGAGGAGGAUAAUGACAGUACUCAACAAAAUAGCCCCGGCUAACUUCGUGCCAGCAGCCGCGGUAAGACGAAGGGGGCGAGCGUUAUCCGGAAUGACUGGGCGUAAAGGGUCCGUAGGCAGCAUUUUUUGUUGGAAGUUAAAUAAAAAAGCUUAACUUUUUUCCGCUUCUAAAACGUAAAUGCUUUGAGUUUGAUAGAAGAUAGCAGAAUUUCACAAGGAGGGGUGAUAUCCAGAGAUCUGUGAAGGAAUAUCAGAUGCGAAGGCGGCUAUCUAGAUCAACACUGACGUUGAGGGACGAAAGCAUGGGGAGCAAACAGGAUUAGAUACCCUGGUAGUCCAUGCCCUAAAAGAUGAGUGUUCGUGCUUAGAGAACUUUAGGCACUUAGUUAACACGUUAAACACUCCGCCUGGGGAGUACGAUCGCAAGGUUGGAACUCAAAGGAAUUGACGGGGGCCUAUACAAGUGGUGGAGCAUGUGGUUUAAUGCGAUAAUACGCGCGAAACCUUACCAGUUCUUGACAUAAAAAAGAAAAAGUUUGAAAAAGCAAUUUUAAAGAUUUUUACAGGUGCUGCAUGGCUGUCGUAAGCUCGUGUCGUGAGAUGUUAGGUUAACUCCUUUUAACGGGCGAAACCCCUUUUUUUCGUUGCUACUUAAUUUUAUUUUUAAAGCACUCUAAAAAAACUGCUCCCUUUUUUUAAUUCGGAGAGGAAGGUGGGGAUGACGUCAAGUCCUUAUGGCCCUUAUGAACUGGGCUACACACGUGCUACAAUGGUAAAGACAAUAAGAAGUGAUAGGGUAACCUAAAACCAAUCUUUAAACUUUAUCAAAGUUCGGAUUGUGGACUGCAACUCGUCCAUAUGAAGGUGGAAUCACUAGUAAUCGCACAUCAGCAUGUUGCGGUGAAUUUGUACCUAGGCCUUGUACACACCGCCCGUCACGUGCCGGGAGUUGGC